rnacentral:rRNA from 1 species
AUUGAACGCUGGCGGCAGGCCUAACACAUGCAAGUCGAACGAGUGGCGGACGGGUGAGUAAUGUCUGGGAAACUGCCUGGUGGAGGGGGAUAACUACUGGAAACGGUAGCUAAUACCGCAUACCAUCGGAUGUGCCCAGAUGGGAUUAGCUAGUAGGUGGGGUAAAGGCUCACCUAGGCGACGAUCCCUAGCUGGUCUGAGAGGAUGACAAGGCACACUGGAACGGAGACACGGUCCAGACUCCUACGGGAGGCAGCGGGGGGGAAUAGUGCACAAUGGGAGCAAGGCUGAUGCAGCCAUGCCGCGUGUAUGAAGAAGGCCUUCGGGUUUUAAAGUAAUUUCAGCGGGGAGGCGGUACCCGCAGAAGAAGCACCGGCUAACUCCGUGCCAGCAGCCGCGGUAAUUC